GUAAUUUAAGAAGUCUGGUAUCAUUUUAUCAGUUCGUCCAUGCAUUACAUCUGAAACCGCCGGAAUACUCUACCGUAGUUGAAAGUGAUGAUAAGCAUGUAGAGGCUCUUUGUGAAACUUUGCAAAUCACUGAGGAAGAAUUUGAACGACUGAAUUGUUUGGUUCGAUCAAGUGAUAUGGUUGAUGAAGGGAAAAGUCGAGCUAAAGUGACUUUUAGCUCAAAUAAAGGAGAAUUUUCAGAAUUCCUAAAUUCUUUCAAUUUGAACGCAGAAAAUGGAGUCAUCUCUUUGGUGUGUGAUUUUGCCGAGGAAAAAUUGUUCCGCAUCAGUGAAUUAGUUUGCCAGGGUGCAGCAGGAAAGUGUUGUCCUAUUGUUGAAUGGCAAUCUGCUUGUAGAGAAAGCCGAAUUAUGUCUUUUGAUUUGCUAAAAAUCUUACUCAAGUAUUGGCUAAAGAAAAAACAUCAGUCUAAGCUGUAUUACAUCGAAAUGCUAAAUUUUACAAAACUCAUAAUUGCAGUUUGCCAGUUGAAUGGUAUCAAGUCUCAUUUCUGGCCGGAGCUGCGAAAAUUAAUUGCUGCAAGCACCGAUUGCAUUUCGGCCUUGUCGAUUUCAUUUAUUUCAGAGGAGUAGCUGCAAUGUUCGAAAAGAUCGUAGUAGGUAUGUAUACAUUUUUGUCUUCAAGAAACAUUUGUUAUAAUGAGUGGCACUGUAAAUAA
rnacentral:lncRNA from 1 species